CCUACGGGAGGCAGCAGUGAGGAAUAUUGGUCAAUGGACGCAAGUCUGAACCAGCCAUGCCACGUGCGGGAAGACGGCUCUAUGAGUUGUAAACUGCUUUUGUACGAGGGUAAACGCACCUACGCGUAUCUGUCUGAGAGUAUCGUAAGAAUAAGGAUCGGCUAACUCCGUGCCAGCAGCCGCGGUAAUACGGAGGAUUCAAGCGUUAUCCGGAUUUAUUGGGUUUAAAGGGUGCGUAGGCGGGCGGUUAAGUUAGAGGUGAAAACCCGAGGCUCAACUUCGGAAUUGCCUCUGAUACUGUUAGGCUAGAGAGUAGUUGCGGUAGGCGGAAUGUAUGGUGUAGCGGUGAAAUGCUUAGAGAUCAUACAGAACACCGAUUGCGAAGGCAGCUUACCAAGCUCCUUCUGACGUUGAGGCACGAAAGCGUGGGUAGCAAACAGGAUUAGAUACCCUUGUAGUC
rnacentral:rRNA from 1 species